rnacentral:rRNA from 1 species
UACAGAGGGUGCGAGCGUUAAUCGGAUUUACUGGGCGUAAAGGGCGCGUAGGCGGAUAUAUGAGUGUGAUGUGAAAGCCCCGGGCUUAACCUGGGAAGCGCAUCGCAAACGAUAUAUCUGGAGUAGAUGAGAGGGUGGCGGAAUUUCCGGUGUAGCGGUGAAAUGCGUAGAGAUCGGAAGGAACGUCGAUGGCGAAGGCAGCCACCUGGCAUCAUACUGACGCUGAGGCGCGAAAGCGUGGGGAGCGAACAGGAUUAGAUACCCUGGUAGUCCACGCUGUAAACGAUGAGAACUAAAUGUUAGUAGGGGAACCUAUUAGUAUUGAAGCUAACGCGAUAAGUUCUCCGCCUGGGAAGUACGGCCGCAAGGUUGAA